AUUGAACGCUGGCGGCAGGCCUAACACAUGCAAGUCGAACGAGUGGCGGACGGGUGAGUAAUGUCUGGGAAACUGCCCGAUGGAGGGGGAUAACUACUGGAAACGGUAUCUAAUACCGCAUACCAUCGGAUGUGCCCAGAUGGGAUUAGCUAGUAGGUGGGGUAACGACGCACCUAGGCGACGAUCCCUAGCUGGUAUGAGAGGAUGACCAGAACCACUGGAACGGAGAAACGGUCCAGACUCCUACGGGAGGCAGCCGUGGGGAAUAUUGCCCAAUGGACGCAAGCCAGAUGCAGCCAUGCCGCGUGUAUGAAGAAGGCCUUCGGGUUGUAAAGUACUUUCAGCGAGGAGGCGUUCCUCGCAGAAGAAGCACCGGCUAACUCCGUGCCAGCCGCCGCGGUAAUAC
rnacentral:rRNA from 1 species